rnacentral:rRNA from 1 species
GAGAAUCUGACUUCGGUCAGAGGAAAGUGGCGGACGGGUGAGUAAUAUGUAGGAAAUCUGCCCUUUGGAGGGGGACAACAGUUGGAAACGACUGCUAAUACCCCAUAUGAGCUAUCUUGAAAUAGAUAUCUUGAAAACUCCGGUGCCAAAGGAUGAGCCUGCACCUGAUUAGCUUGUUGGUGGUGUAAUGGACUACCAAGGCGACGAUCAGUAGCUGGUUUGAGAGGAUGAUCAGCCACAAUGGGACUGAGACACGGCCCAUACUCCUACGGGAGGCAGCAGUAGGGAAUUUUGCGCAAUGGGCGAAAGCCUGACGCAGCAACGCCGCGUGUGUGACGAAGCCCUUCGGGGUGUAAAGCACUGUCAGUGGGGACGAAACUUGACGGUACCCACAGAGGAAGCACCGGCUAACUCCGUGCCAGCAGCCGCGGUAAUACGGAGGGUGCAAGCGUUGUCCGGAAUCAUUGGGCGUAAAGCGUUCGUAGGCGGCAUACCAAGUCUGGUGUUAAAGCCCGAGGCUCAACCUCGGUUCGGCACUGGAUACUGGUAAGCUAGAAUGCGGUAGAGGUGAGGGGAAUUCCUGGUGUAGCGGUGAAAUGCGUAGAUAUCAGGAGGAACAUCGGUGGCGAAAGCGCCUCACUGGGCCGUUAUUGACGCUGAGGAACGAAAGCCGGGGGAGCAAAUGGGAUUAGAUACCCCAGUAGUCCCGGCCGUAAACGAUGGAUACUAGGUGUUGUGGGUAUCGACCCCUACAGUGCCGUAGCUAACGCGAUAAGUAUCCCGCCUGGGGAGUACGCACGCAAGUGUGAAACUCAAAGGAAUUGACGGGGA